rnacentral:misc_RNA from 1 species
UCGUCACAUGUGAGGGGUCUGCUUAUCUGGUGGAACUACCAAUGGCCGAUGUGUUGCCAACUCCGCUGAACCAAAAAUUAAAUGUUCGCUAGGUGAGAGCGCUGAAAAUAAAAAAAACAAUGAUCAGCCCCCACGAAGGAUAAUCUUCUCCGGAAUACAGCCAACAGGACCACUUCAUCUGGGGAACUACUUUGGUGCCAUUAAGAGAUGGGAAGCUUUACAAAACUUAAAUAUUCCAUGCAUUUACAGCAUUGUUGAUCUUCACUCUAUUACACUUCCCCAGAACCCACAGAGACUAAGGACCAACAUACAAGUAAUAACAGCAUGUCUACUGGCAGCUGGAAUAGAUCCAGAUAAAAGUAUCUUAUUCCUGCAAUCUCAGGUUCCUCAGCACACAGAACUGGCGUGGAUACUUGGUUGUUCUCUAACGAUGGCACGUCUAGGUCAACUUCCGCAGUUCAAGGAAAAAUCAUCAUCUUUAAAAGAAAUACCUCUUGGUUUGUAUAUCUAUCCAGUGUUGCAGAGUGCGGAUAUUCUACUCUACAA